rnacentral:lncRNA from 1 species
GUUGUUUCAAGAAAUGAAAAUGAAGGGCGCCCUGGAAUAGGUUCGCCGAAGAGAGAGCUUGCAGGCCUCUGGGAAGCAAGCCAUCGUGUGGCAGAGGCCCAGGUGGCAAGGAACCAAGGGCGGCUUCUGGCCAACAGCCAGCGAGGACCUGAGACCGUAGCCCAACACCCCUCCAGGAACUGAAUUUUGCCAGCAACCAGUGAGUGACCUUGGAAGUGGAUCCUUCCCCCGAAAGCCCGGCUUUCAGACGGAGGCUGGUGGGACCUCAACCCCAGCUGGUAUCCAGGCUCUUGACACCAUCUGGAGAAGGAAUUCAAGAGUGUGUCAGAAAAUGAUGAAAGUACAAAGAUUUAUUGCAAAGCGAAAAAUACACACUCAAGAAAGGGGAGUAUGGGUGGACUCAAGACAGAGUCCGAUGGGACUUGGGGUUUCUACCUUUUGGGUUUCUUUUUUUUUUUUUUUUGAUAUGGAGUCUCGCACUGUUGCCCAGGCUGGAGCGCAGUGGCGUGAUUUUGGCUCACUGCAACCUCUGCCUCCCGGGUUAAAACGAUUCUCCUGCCUCAGCGUCCCAAGUAGCUGGGAUUACAGGCUCCCACCACCAUGCCCGGCUAAUUUUUGUAUUUUUAGUAGAGACGAGGCCUCACCAUAUUGGCCAGGCUGUUCUCGAACUCCGGACCUUAGGUGAUCUGCCUGCCUCAGCCUCCCAAAGUGCUGGGAUUACAGGCGUGAGCCACCAUGCCCAAUGGGUGUGGGAUUUAGUAUAUUAAUGAGUGUAUAAUGAGGUCCUUGGUGAAACCUACAUCAAAUCCAGCACCGUGUUGGGUCCAGUCUGUCUUAGCCAGCUUGGUCCACACCCUGGUUUUUUAGGGUCUUAUUGGCCCCUUACUUCUGCAGCAAAAGUUUCCUUUUGCUAGUCAUGUGAAACUGCCACCUGGAAUUUUCUAUUCUCUAGUGACCACCCUGUAUUAUUCCUGUCUCACUGGGACCCUAAGAAAUUGGGAAUUCCAACUACACAUCCAAAAUAGUUUGACUAAAACUGUUGAAAAAAGAAAAAAAUAAUGGCAUAAAGUAUUGCUUGACUAAAUUCCAGCCAGGUGCAUUGGCCACUUUAGGUCGGGUGUGGUGGCUCAUGCUUGUAAUCCCAGCAUUUUGGGAGGCUGAGGCGGGAGGAUCACUUGAGGUCAGGAGUUCCAAACCAGUCUGGCCAAAAUGGUAAAACCCCCUCUCUACUAAAAAUACAAAAAUUAGCCGGACCUGGUGGCGGAAGCCUGUAAUCCCAGCUACUCUGGAGGCUGAGGCACGAAAAUUGCUUGAACCCAGGAGGUGGAGGUUGCAUUGAACCAAGAUCAUACCACUGCACUCUAGCCUGUGUGACAGAGAAAGAUUCCGUCUCAAGAAACAAAAACAAAAAUGAAAAACAAACAAAAAGAAAGCCCAUUCUAUCUUUUUUAUUUUUUAUUUUUUUGAGACAGGGUCUCGCUCUGUCACUCAGGCUGGAGUGCCACAGCGCGAUCUCUGCUCACUACAACCUCCAUCUCCCAGGCUCAAGCACUCCUCCCACCUCAGCCUCCUGAGUAGCUGGGACCACAGGCACAGAAACCCCACUGUAAAUAAAGAGAGGUAGGCUUUUAAAAAUGUCACUCUGUUCACAGUAAGGCAAGCAAGGGAAGCAAAAUCAAUUUCUUUCUAGAGGUGGGAUAAUGGGUAGGGAGUGGAAGACUUUAGGAAAGAGGUGCCCCAGUUUCUGAGUCACUUCAUGGCUUCAAUAUUCAUUGACUAUCAAUCAACAGAUGAAUGGAUAUACAAAAGGUGGUAUCUCUGUUGCAGCAGGUAGUUAGUCAGAGCUGAGCAGGGAAGGAGAGGCUCCUCCGCCCCAUCAGGAGAUGAUCAGGCAGUUGUUAAACUGUCUCUCUCAAAUAAUCAUUGGUUGCAGCCGAUGCCAGGGAAAGACAGUCUCCCAGUAGAUAGAAACGCCAGAAACUGGUGAUCAGCAGCUUCCCAGUAAGAUCUCAGGAGGUGGGUGAGUGGGCUUAAGCAUGUGCAUGAAGAGGCAAAAUGGUUGAGCUUAGCUGGUACAUGACCUUCCUCUAGGAACACUCAACUGAUAAGGGAAGAACACCUCAAGUGAGCACACAUAUAGCUUCAGUAAACACACUCACAUGCAGCCCCUCCCAAGUGCUGGCAGGCCAUUGUACAUGCAGACUGCCAACAUAUAAAACCACAAGUCAAAGGUCAAACCAUGCACUUGAAUCUCUCAAGGUCCCUACUGGCCCUCUUCCACGUGUACUUUAUUUCCUUGCAUUCCUGUUCUAAAACUUUUUUUUUUUUUUUUUUGAGACGGAGUUUCGCUCUUGUUGCUCAGGCUGGAGUGCAAUGGCGCGAUCUCAGCUCACAGCAACCUCCACCUCCCAGGUUCAAGCCAUUCUCCUGCCUCAGCCUCCCGAGUAGCUGGGAUUAUAGGCAUGUGCCAUCAUGCCCGGCUAAUUUUAUAUUUUUAGUAGAGACAGGGUUUCUCCAUGUUGGUCAGGCUGGUCUCGAACUCCGGACCUCAGGUGUUCUGCCCACCUCCCAAAGUGCUGGGAUUACAGGCGUGAGCCACCAUGCCCAGCUAAAACUUUUUAAUAAACUUUCACUCCUGCUGUGAAACUUGCCUUGGUUUCUUACUCUGUCUUAUGCCCCUUGGUUGAAUUCUCUCUUCUGAGGAGGCAAGGAUUCAGGUUGCUGCAGGCCCGUAUGGAUUCACUGCUACUAACAUCUCCAUACAACAGAAUAUAAUUUGGCCAUAAAAUGAAAUGAAGUAUUGAUACAAGCUACAAUGUAGAUGAACCUUGAGAACAUUGCGUUAAGUGAAAGAAGCCAGUCACAACAUAUAUUGCUUGCUUCUGUUAACAUGAAAUGUCUGGAAUAGGCAAAACCAUAGAGACAGAAAGUAGAUUCAUGAUUGCUGGGGGUUGGAGGGGGUGGGGAAAUUGUGAGUGUGUCUUAGCCUGUUUUCUGUUGCAUAUAUACCACAGACUGGGUAGGGUAAUUUAUAAAGAAAAAAAGUAUAUUUAGUACAUGGUUCUGGAGACUGAGAAGUCCAAGAGCAUGGAACAAGCAUCUGGUGAGGACCUUCUUGCUGUAUCAUAACAUAACAGAGGGCAUCACAUGGCAAGAGGACAAGAGCAAGAGAGCCAGAGAGCGCUUGCUUUUAUAACAAAACCACUCCCACGAUGGCAACACUAAUCCAUUCUUGAGGGUAGAGGGACUGAGUUUCCAACACAUGAACUUUUGGAGGACACAUUCAAACCAUAGCAAGGUGAUAGCUAAAGGGUAUGGGGUGUCUUUCUGGAGUGAUGAAAAUCUAAAAUUGAUGGUAGUUAUGGUUGUACAACCUUGUGACUAUGCUAAAAGCCAUUGAAUUGUAGACUUUAACUGAGAGAGUUCUAUGGGAUGAAUUAUAUCUCAAUAAAGCUGUUAUCAGCAGAGGGUGGUGGCUCAUGCCUGUAAUCCCAGCACUUUGGGAGGCCAAGGCAGGUGGAUCACCUGAGGUCAGGAGUUCAAGACCAGCCUGGCCAAUAUGGUAAAACCCCAUCUCUAAUUAAAAAAUACAAAAAUUAGCCGGGUGUGGUGUUGAGCACCUGUAAUCCCAGGUACUCGGGAGGCUGAGGCAGGAGAAUCACUUGAACCUGGGAAGCGGAGAUUGCAGUAAGCCAAGAUUGAGCCACUGCACUCCAGCCUGGGCUACGAAGGAAGACUCUGUCUCAAAAUAAAAUAAAAUAAAAAUAAAG